CGCGGCCUAUCAGCUUGUUGGUGGGGCAAUGGCCUACCAAGGCUUUGACGGGUAGCCGGCCUGAGAGGGUGACCGGCCACACUGGGACUGAGACACGGCCCAGACUCCUACGGGAGGCAGCAGUGGGGAAUAUUGGACAAUGGGCGGAAGCCUGAUCCAGCAACGCCGCGUGAGGGAUGACGGCCUUCGGGUUGUAAACCUCUUUCAGCACAGACGAAGCGCAAGUGACGGUAUGUGCAGAAGAAGGACCGGCCAACUACGUGCCAGCAGCCGCGGUAAUACGUAGGGUCCGAGCGUUGUCCGGAAUUAUUGGGCGUAAAGGGCUCGUAGGCGGUUUGUCGCGUCGGGAGUGAAAUCCAGGUGCUUAACACCUGGCCUGCUUUCGAUACGGGCAGACUUGAGGCAUUCAGGGGAGAACGGAAUUCCUGGUGUAGCGGUGAAAUGCGCAGAUAUCAGGAGGAACACCGGUGGCGAAGGCGGUUCUCUGGGAAUGUUCUGACGCUGAGGAGCGAAAGUGUGGGGAGCGAACAGGAUUAGAUACCCUGGUAGUCCACACCGUAAACGUUGGGCGCUAGGUGUGGGACACAUUCCACGUGUUCUGUGCCGUAGCUAACGCAUUAAGCGCCCCGCCUGGGGAGUACGGG
rnacentral:rRNA from 1 species